CGCGUGGGGAACCUGCCCUAUACAGGGGGAUAACAGCUGGAAACGGCUGCUAAUACCGCAUAAGCGCACAGAAUCGCAUGAUUCAGUGUGAAAAGCCCUGGCAGUAUAGGAUGGUCCCGCGUCUGACUAGCUGGUUGGUGAGGUAACGGCUCACCAAGGCGACGAUCAGUAGCCGGCUUGAGAGAGUGAACGGCCACAUUGGGACUGAGACACGGCCCAA
rnacentral:rRNA from 1 species